rnacentral:misc_RNA from 1 species
GAUGAAGAACGUAGCGAAAUGCGAUAAGUAAUGUGAAUUGCAGAAUUCAGUGAAUCAUCGAAUCUUUGAACGCACCUUGCGCCCUUUGGCUAUUCCGAAGGGCAUGCCUGUUUGAGUAUCAUGAACACCUCAACUCUCAUGGUCUGCCAUGAUGAGCUUGGACUUUGGGGGUCUUGCUGGCCUACUGUCAGCUCCUCUCAAAUGAAUCAGCUUACCAGUGUUUGGUGGCACCACAGGUGUGAUAACUAUCUACGCUUGUGGUUUUCUGCCAGGUAACCUCCAGUGAUGGAGGUUCGCUGGAGCUCACAAAUGUCUCUCCUCAGCGAGGACAGCUUUUUGAACGUUUGAUCUCAAAUCAGGUAGGACUACUCGCUGAACUUAAGCAUAUCAAUAAGCGGAGGA